rnacentral:rRNA from 1 species
CCUACGGGAGGCUGCAGUGAGGAAUAUUGGUCAAUGGGCGCGAGCCUGAACCAGCCAAGUCGCGUGAGGGAAGACGGCCCUAUGGAUUGUAAACCUCUUUUGUCGGGGAGCAAAAGCCGCCACGCGUGGCGUUCCGAGAGUCCCCGAAGAAAAAGCAUCGGCUAACUCCGUGCCAGCAGCCGCGGUAAUACGGAGGAUGCGAGCGUUAUCCGGAUUUUGUGGGUUUAAAGGGUGCGCAGGCGGAAGAUUAAGUCAGCGGUAAAAUAGAGGGGCUCAACCUCUUCGAGCCGUUGAAACUGGUAUUCUUGAGUGGGCGAGAAGUAUGCGGAAUGCGUGGUGUAGCGGUGAAAUGCAUAGAUAUCACGCAGAACUCCGAUUGCGAAGGCAGCAUACCGGCGCUCAACUGACGCUCAUGCACGAAAGUGUGGGUAUCGAACAGGAUUAGAUACCCGAGUAGUC